rnacentral:rRNA from 1 species
UACGGAGGAUCCAAGCGUUAUCCGGAUUUAUUGGGUUUAAAGGGUGCGUAGGCGGGUUUGUAAGUCAGUGGUGAAAUCGAGCAGCUUAACUGUUCCACUGCCAUUGAUACUGCAGAUCUUGAGUUCGUUUGAAGUGGGCGGAAUGUGUAGUGUAGCGGUGAAAUGCUUAGAUAUUACACAGAACACCAAUUGCGUAGGCAGCUCACUAAACCGAAACUGACGCUGAGGCACGAAAGUGUGGGGAUCAAACAGG